AUUGAACGCUGGCGGCAUGCCUUACACAUGCAAGUCGAACGGCAGCACGGGUGCUUGCACCUGGUGGCGAGUGGCGAACGGGUGAGUAAUACAUCAGAACAUGUCCUGUAGUGGGGGAUAGCCCGGCGAAAGCCGGAUUAAUACCGCAUACGAUCCACGGAUGAAAGCGGGGGACCUUCGGGCCUCGCGCUAUAGGGUUGGCCGAUGGCUGAUUAGCUAGUUGGUGGGGUAAAGGCCUACCAAGGCGACGAUCAGUAGCUGGUCUGAGAGGACGACCAGCCACACUGGGACUGAGACACGGCCCAGACUCCUACGGGAGGCAGCAGUGGGGAAUUUUGGACAAUGGGCGAAAGCCUGAUCCAGCAAUGCCGCGUGUGUGAAGAAGGCCUUCGGGUUGUAAAGCACUUUUGUCCGGAAAGAAAUCCUUGGCUCUAAUACAGUCGGGGGAUGACGGUACCGGAAGAAUAAGCACCGGCUAACUACGUG
rnacentral:rRNA from 1 species